GUUAAAACGACACGUGUCCAUUUUAAUUGAAAAUAAUUAUACAAACGAAUAUUUACUGUGUUGAACUACUGUUUUUCCCUCAUUCUAAUAAAAAUCCAAUAAUUACAUAAUAGAAAAAAGUAAUUUUAUUUUUUUGGAAAUGGCAAAUAAUAUCAAAUGGAAGAACAAAAGAUCAACUAUUGGAACAAGCACACAUUGUACCAGUUUUGGCGUAGCUAAACAAUUGUCUUUUAAAAAUUUUAAACUACCUCCUGAUUUACAAAAGGCUUUAAAAUGUUAUCUAAUAAAAAGUCCUUGUGGUAGUCAAUUAUGUAGAAAUUAUAUACAGCUUAUCAAUAAUCUUCCACACAUCAAAAAAAUAA